AUAUAAUACUCGAAAGUCAAGUCAGGUGAAAUCUUCUAACCUUAUAAGAUUUUUUCAGGACAGCAAAAUAAUGUCGUGCAUCUAGCCCAAACCUAUUUGAGAGUUUUAGCAUUUGUGAAUUAGGGGUUUACAUAGCCAAUGGGUUCGUAAUUCCAACUCACUAGGGUUUUCAUAAAGGAGAUCUUCAAGGUCCACUAAAUCUAAGUUUAGUUCUAAUGUCAACAUGUUAGAGGAAAGCGUUAACAUGAGAAUUUUGAUAUAGUAGAAAGCAGCAGAAAGAAAGCUUGCUAAUGUUUUACCUAUGCAUGAUAAUGAUAUUUUUCCUGGUAGGUCAUUAGAUAGCUAGGAAUCACAUGAUUGUAAUCUUACUACUACUAUUGCACCACUUGUUUCUGGAGAACAAGUGUUGAUAGUAGUGGACUAGAGAAAGUGAGUGGUAGUGAGUUUCUUGAAUUUUGCAAUUGAAUUAGUUCACAUAAUCGAAGGGUUCCUAGUUCCAACUCACUAGGGUUAUGUGGACAAAUUGUACAGAUGCAAGCUAAAAUUUGUUGCGGAGGUUUCUUGGCUUCAUGAAAGUCCUUUGAGGCUGCUGUUUCCGAGGCUCUGCAGAGUUGUGAGAUUAGACAACUUUUUGUCAACCUUUCCCUUUCUAUCGGAUGUCCCUGAAGGAGUUUCAGGGGUGGAAUCUUGUGUUCAGAAGAAAUCCCAAUGAUUAGAGAUAAAUGAAUGGCUCAUUUUCUCAGAAUUGUUUCAAGAUAUAGUGUCUAUUUUAACAAUUCAUCAGAGCAUCUAAAAGGUCUUCUUAUGUCUCUUCCAAAUGGACGGACUCUUCGAUAAUUCAAAAUUGCACGAUCAAGGCUAUUAGGUAAGCUAAAAUUCCAGGAAAUGAUGUUUUAUAUGCACCCUACUAGUUCAAGAUCAAUUGCACACCUUGCAACAAAGUGGAACGGAUGAUUCCUAAAUA